CGUUUGCGUGAGGGAUAGGAGCGGUAUCCUUUUAUGGCGGGGUUCGCCAUAAAAGAUAUAGCGGAUAGCCUCCCGAUAGCUA
rnacentral:sRNA from 1 species